UUCUUUCUUAGGGAAGAAAGAUGACGGUACCUAAGGAAUAAAGCACCGGCUAAAUACGUGCCAGCAGCCGCGGUAAUACGUAUGGUGCAAGCGUUAUCCGGAAUCACUGGGCGUAAAGGGUACGUAGGCGGUGAUGCAAGUCAGAAGUGAAAGGCUACGGCUCAACCGUAGUAAGCUUUUGAAACUGCAUGACUAGAGUUCAGGAGAGGUAAGUGGAAUUCCUAGUGUAGAGGUGAAAUUCGUAGAUAUUAGGAGGAACACCAGUGGCGAAGGCGACUUACUGGACUGAUACUGACGCUGAGGUACGAAAGCGUGGGGAGCGAACAGGAUUAGAUACCCUGGUAG
rnacentral:rRNA from 1 species